rnacentral:rRNA from 1 species
UAUUUAUUAGAUACAAACCAAUAUUCCUUCGGGUCUAUUGUGAUGAUUCAAUAUAACUGAUCGAAUCGCAUGGUCUUGCACCGCGAUAAAUCAUUCAAGUUUCUGCCCCAUCAGCUUUCGAUGGUAGUGUAUUGGACUACCAUGGCUUUUACGGGUAACGGAGGAUUAGGGUUCGAUUCCGGAGAGGGAGCCUGAGAAACGGCUACCACAUCUAAGGAAGGCAGCAGGCGCGUAAAUUACCCAAUCCUGACUCAGGGAGGUAGUGACAAGAAAUAACAGACCGGAGCUUCGGUUCCGGGAUUGCAAUGAGUACAAUUUAGACUCCUUAACAAGUAACAAUUGGAGGGCAAGUCUGGUGCCAGCAGCCGCGGUAAUUCCAGCUCCAAUAGCGUAUAUUAAAGUUGUUGCAGUUAAAAAGCUCGUAGUUGGAUUUCUGUGAGAGUGCCGGUGUCGGCUGAUGCUUGUACGCAGGCGCUCUUACAUCCUUCUGUUAACUGUUCUUGGCAUUUUAUUGCUGGUUCAGGGCUCAGAUAUUUUACCUUGAGAAAAUUAGAGUGUUUCAGGCGGGCUUAUGCC